rnacentral:lncRNA from 1 species
GACUAUUAUGCUGCGGAAAUCAUGAACCAGAUAAAGUUCACCUUUAGUCCCUUGUCUACACCCUGAAGGUGUAACAUGAGGGAUCCCAUCUGCUAUGGUUUGAAUGUGCGUGCCCGCUCCAAAAUUCAUGCUGAAACUUAAUCCCCAGCGCAACUGUAUCGGAAGGUAGGGCCUUCUGGUGGUGGGGUUGAGUGCUCUGCCCUCAUGAAUGGCAUUAAUGCCUUAUAAAGAGGCUUCACACUGCGUCUGCUCCUUUUUGGCCUUUAACCUUCCUCCACGUAAGGACACAGUGAACAAGGUGCCAUCUUGGAAACAAACAGCAGCCUUCACCAGACACCAGACCUUCUGGCACCUUGACCUUGCGCUUUCCAGCCUCCAGAACCGUGAGAAAUCAAUGUUUAUUGUUUAUAAAUUACCCAAUCUGUGGUAUUUUUUUAAAACAGCAUAAUGGGACUAAGACACCAUCAGAACUUGGGACCAAAAGAAUACUUUUGCCCUCUGAGAGCUGAUUCUUAACACAGAAUAAAAAUGAAGAAUUACUUUAAAGAGAUGGACUACCUCAAGGGACUAGAACUAUUGCCACUGAGGGCAGGUGAAAGUUCAGCCAACUCGGAACCCGGAGGCCCCACCUUACCUCCCUUUGUGAAGAGCCCAGAGCCUUUGUCCAAAGCUGCAUCACUUCCCACCCAGCCCUUCCUGAGCCAACUCCCCGAUGUCUCCAGAAGAACACAGUCGGCAUCAUCGUGAUAACAUCAGGGAAACUCCUAUUUCCAGCAGUUUCUCCUUCAGCUGCAAAAAUGUGCAGCAGUAGACAGGGCGUGGGUUUUUGAAGUCUCUGCAGGAAGUAGAGUUAUUUUCUCAGCACCACAUCUGAGCGCAUCUUCUAAGGGUGGCCGACUGUGUGGGAGCUGCAGGAGCUCAGCCGGGAUGCAGCCCUCCCAUUCCCCACCCUGUCCACUACCACCACGCCUGGAUCCGACAGGCAGGGCAGGACCCCAUGCCACGUGGUAACUGUUAAGGAAAAUGGAGCCAGGUAGGGGGGAUGUCUGAUACCCUUCCUGGUUUUCCUGAGUGUUCUUUGUCUCCCCAACUCCUACUCACAAUAAAUCUGACUACACUUAAACUUAGAUCAUCAUAAGAGACCCCGCAAAUGCCCACCAUCCUCCACUGCUGUGAUCAUGAAUCUAGAAUGGACAUUUCAUAUCAAUGCCACAGUCCCCUGAGACCAUCAGCCAGAAAUGUUAUCACAACUCCCUCGCUUUGCCCUCCAUUCCCAGAAGGCAAGGAAAGAAGGAACCCAGUUUCCCAGCACCCAGAUGCCUACUGAUCCUGGCACGCAGCUCAAAGUUCAGUUACAUUAAUGAUGGGCCUACUGCA